rnacentral:tRNA from 1 species
GCCUUGGUGGCUCAGUUGGUAGAGCGUGAGUCUCAUAAUCUCAAGGUCGUGAGUUCGAUCCUCACCUAGGGCA